rnacentral:rRNA from 1 species
CCUACGGGCGGCAGCAGUGAGGAAUAUUGGUCAAUGGACGAGAGUCUGAACCAGCCAAGUAGCGUGAAGGAUGACUGCCCUAUGGGUUGUAAACUUCUUUUAUAUGGGAAUAAAAUGUUCCACGUGUGGGAUUUCGUAUGUUCCAUAUUAAUAAGGAUGGGCUAACUCCGUCCCAGCAGCCGCCGUAAUACGGAGGAUCCGAGCCUUAUCCGGAUUUAUUGGGUUUAAAGGGAGCGUAGGUGGAUUGGUAAGUCAGUUGGGAAAGUUUGGGGGUCAACCGUAAAAUUGCAGUUGAAACUGGCAGUCUUGAGUACAGUAGAGGUGUGCGGAAUUCGUGGUGUAGCGGUGAAAGGCUUAGAUAUCACGAAGAACUCCGAUUGCGAAGGCAGCACACUGGACUGCAACUGACACUGAGGCUCGAAAGUGUGGGUAUCAAACAGGAUUAGAUACCCUAGUAGUC